CUUUGAGAAACAUUUAACCUUGACAUUCUUCUAAUUGACAAGCCUGGUGUUGGUAACUUGCUGAGAUAAGAGGGAUUUUCCAUGUAUAAUAUGCAGGUCAUUGGUUUUAAGCUGGGCCUGUUAUAAUCUAUUGGAGUCCUGACAGUUCUAGGUGAUAAAAAGAAGAAAGAUUGGUUUUAUUAGGCGAUUUCCCCCAUCUUCGGCAGCGCUACUUUAAUAGAUAAUAAUGGUUAACAACUUGAUGACAUUUCCCUGAUUUUAUUUUAGCAUUUGGAAGGUGAUGAAUACUAGGACUAACUAAUGUUAGAAUGAGCUCAUCGCUCAGAACAGUGAGCCUGGGAGUUGCAAAAAAGUCCAUUUUCCCUAAACUUUAGCCUCAUGGCUUUAGCUUUGUUCCUCUCCAAGUACAACCUGACAUUUGUGUCCUAUUGGUUGAGAGCUCUUGGAAGCAAUUAAGAGUACACUCGGAUACCCAUCCAAAUAUCUAACUUAAUAUAGUUCAACAGAAACAGAAGGCUGAAGUGGCUUGCCAAGUUUGGAAAGAAAGUUUUUGAUACCAGUUCAUACUUAGAGCCAGGCUUCUGUAUAAGCAGCUUGGUGACCUCCUUUAUUGGUUAAAUUUCAGGGGCAUACAUAAGUUACCUUGCCCCUCAGGAGCUCCUCUAGUUUAUUUCCAAAUCCCAGAACUGAAAGUUGGGAAGAAAGCUUCAUGUCAUGAUUAGUGAUGAGAUUGCAAGCAGGCACAGUAAUACUCACACCUUGGCUUCUGUUUAUGAUUCGACAUAUGUAAUAGUAACAGAUCUUCCUCUUUUGUCUUUGAUAGGGUUAAGAGUGAAAGAACAUCAGAGCCCUGGCCAGCUGAAAGCAGAGAGGGGAAAGCUGGAGCCCUGAGGAUAAGAUGUCUAUUUUAUACUUUUUCAAAGAGCUCCCCCUGUCUACUCCCAUUCAUCUCUGUUCCUCUUCCCUUCCUUUGGGGAAUCACCUCUCCCCAAACUCUCUCUGCAGCUUUUAUAUUAGGUCUUGUCCUUCAUUUAUAAGGGCUGAUAAGGUAGGAAGAGGGCUUCCCUGGCAGCUCAGGUGAUAAAGAAUCCACCUGCAAUGCAGGAGACCCUGGUUUGAUUCCUGGGUUGGGCUUCCCUGGUGGCUCAGCUGGUAAAGAAUCUGCCUGCAAUGAGAGACCUGGGUUCAAUCCCUGGGUUGGGAAGAUCCCUUGGAGGAGGGCAUGCCAACCCACUCCAGUAUUCCUGCCUGCAGAAUCCCCAUGGAGAGAGAUGCCUUGCAGGCUACAGUCCACGGGGUCACAAAAGAGUUGGACACAACAGAGUGACUAAGCACAGCAUAGCAAGGUGGUGCAGUGGGAAAGAAUCCACCUGCCAAUGCAGGAGAGAUGCAAGAGACCUGGGUUCGAUCCCUGGGUCAGGAAGAUCCCUGAAGAAAGAAAUGGCAACCCACUCCAGUAUUCUUGCCUGGAAAAUUCCAUGGAGAGAGGACCCUGGUGGGCUAUAAUUGAGGGAGUUGCAAGGAGUUGGGCAUGACUGGGCACUCACAGACACAUAUUACCACAUACAGUAAAUCCUUGAACCUAAGUUAAUCAUGCAAAUGCUUCAAAGCAGAAUUUUCUCCAACUUGUAGCAGACAGAAGGAGAAAUCAGAGAUUCAAGUAUAAGAGAGAUAAUGUAUUUCUGUGGCUUUUGAAGGUGAUGUGGGCACAUGAUAAGGAAUUCUACUGGCCUCUGGAAGCAGAGAGUGGCUUAAGGUGUUCCGCCAGAAAGGAAUGGGAGUCUCAUUCCUGUAACUAUAAGCAACUAGAUUCUUCCGACAGCUGAACAAACCUGUAAGAGGAUUCUUCCCCAGUCUUACAGCUAAGAGCCCAGUCCAGUCAACACCUUGAUUUCAGCCUGUGAGACUCUAAUCCGAGAACCCAUUUGAACUGACCUGGACUCCUGACCCACAGAACUCUGAGGUAACAAAUGGAUAUCAUUUUAAGCUGCCAAGUCUGUGGUAGUUGAUUACACAACAAUAGAACACUAACAUAAAUGACAAUUUCUUCCUCAUCCAUGGAAAUAUUUUCCAAUUUGUACUGCAAUUCACAAAUACAAAUUUUCAGCUGUUAAAAAACAUAUUGUCUAUAAUUUUGUUGUCAAUGAAGUUUUGCUGUGUUCUGUUCAGUUUUGAUUAUAAAUUCUCUGUUCAGGUAAAGUGCCUGCCUACAAUGCAGGAGACCUGGGUUGGGAAGAUCCCCUGGAGAAGGAAAUGGCAACUCACUCCAGUAUUCUUGCCUGGAAAAUCCCAUGGACAGAGGAGCCUGGUAGACUACAGUCCAUGGGGUCGCAAAGAGUCGGACACGACUGAGUGACUUCACUUUCUUUUUUCUUCUCUGUACUUAAAUUUUUUUCCCCUCAAAGAGCACUGCCAUAUAUACCUUUGUACCAGUAGAGGUGGUAAGCAUUGAAGAGUGUGGUGAUAUUGAAAUUAUUAUGUAUAUUUCAUCAUAACUAUUAUUAUCACUUGGAGGGUCUCGGUUUUUUUUCCAACUAUAAAGAGUUGAGGGACUUUGCUAAAGAUAUACAAGAUCCACUGAUGCUCAGUCUGGGUGAAAAAGAGAACUAUCCCAUAAUAGCACAUUGAUAUUUUUGUGAAGGAUUAGGUGGGAGGGGACUUUUAAACCUCAAUUAAUUUUUGUCAUCUGUAUUAUCUUCUGGUAAACAGCAAGUUAUCGAACUUUAUUUUUCAGAGAUGAAAACGAAUCCGGGAAGGUAAAAUAACCUGUACAAAACUGUACCAUUGUCAUGGGAGUGGAAUCAAUUUUAAGGGUCAGAGCUCCUUCGGUAUUAUGCUUUUCUAUCUCUGGUCUUUUUCAGGCCUCCCAGAUUAUACAGUGUAUCACAGUCUCAAUUCUUCUAGGGCAAAGAGGAUUCCCCAGAAUUGAAUGCAUCUAAGAAUUGCUUAUAAAAGCCAUCGGUGUCGGUAUCACUCGUUAUCUUUCCAAAGUCAGUGAGUUCUGGAUUAUUUCAAAAAGGUCCUGUCUGUGCCUUUGGAAGCAGAGAAAUCACACCCAUCACCCAUCCACCCCUCACCUUGAAGAGUCACCAAAAACCCUAACAUACAUGCAUCUGGGUGAAAAAUACAUUUAAAGACCACAGGAUAAAUCAGUAAUGUUAUGUUUCUAAUAACAGGAAAAAAUGUGUAGAAAAAGUUUAAGAUAAGAGUUAAUAAAAUCACUGAUUGAUGAUCAAAGUAUAAUAAGGUGUUUCCUUGCAUCUUCCUAGCCAAGGAAUUAAAAGUUGAGAAUAUGUGUUACAGUACUUGAACCUCAUUGUACACCAGUAAAACUUGGAGGGCUUGUUAAACUACAGCUUACAUGACCACACACCUAGAGCUCCUGGUUCAGUAGACUUGGGGCAAGGCCAAGAAUUGGUAGUUGUAACCACCUGCGAGGUGAUGCUGUGUGCUGCUGCUGCAGAUCUGAAAAUCACACUUUGAGAAGUACUGGGGUACUGAAACUACUCAGCUAUUUCCUUAGCACUACUGUGACUACAGUAGGAUUUAGAGCCUUUCAUAGCAUCAUGAGAAGUAAGGUUGUAAAUAAAAACAUCCCUAGGAAAAGGACAAUGGUUUAUUUAUUUUCCAAAAAUUUACCGAGGAUUUUAUGUGGCUCUUUCUGCCAUCAUGGAUAAAGUUCAUAAAUCAUUUCCCAAUCAGGGAAAGAGGAACACAACAAAAUAUGUUUUAACUCUCAAUAUAGAUGUGGAGCACACUGUAUGGUGCUACCCAAAAUAUCCAAAAAAUGGCUCAUGUGUUGAUUAACUUGCAAAAAAGCAGCCUCUACCUAGAGAAAUACAUGUUUAGACGGUAUGCUAAGCACAAUUCAUUAUUUUAUCUGACAUUUAUACACAUAUGUGUGCAUGCAACCUUAAAGUUAAAUGUUACUAACCUUUGAUUACUCUAGAUUUUAUCUCUGCUUACUUACUCAGGCACAUAGCUCAAAGGUC
ensembl:lncRNA